rnacentral:ncRNA from 1 species
UGUCUCCUCCAACUCUUCUUGAAUUGGAUUCAGCCCGCAACCGAAAGGUACGCGGGCUUUUUUUC